GGCGAUCGACCUCAAUGUACAGAUUUGCUGAACAAAUUACUCGAUACGUAGUAAAAGGCUCGAUUUUAUAAUUUUUGAACAGUCAAGUACCUAAGUAACACUUUUCAUGAUCUAUUAUUGUGUGUUGUGUUGAAGUUAUUACUUCGUAUGGUUUCCUCGAAUAGAUAAAACUACUUAAAGGUACGUAGGUAACCGUACCUACAAUUGGGGCCCAAUAGAUACCUACGAUGUACCUACCUACCUAUCUAUUUACGAGCUCAUUCAUUCUACGUAGUUGUGACAAAUCAUUUGUACGAAAUAUUUACCUAUUUACAACGAAAAAAUACACAAAAUAUUAGAAACAAUACCAAGCUAAGUUGAAGUAGAUAGUGUUUUACAAUUUAGUUUAUACCUAUACCUAUACUUUACCUUGAUCAAACCAUGGAUAUUCUGAAGGCUUCAAUUGCAUUACUUUUCUUCGCAAUCGUAUCAGUGGCGAGCUGUAUGCCUUACAUAGAGUGUGACCCUUCAGGUCAAAACUGUCACGGGUAUCCAUGUAAACCACAUGAAAUAUGUCCAUUGAACACAUAAAAUUAAUUAUCUUUCAUCUAUCACUUCAAAAAAAUAUUUCUGCUUUCUGUAUCAAAAUUUGAUGAGGCGAUUAAAGCAAUAGUUUAUUCAUUUUUUUCUAGUAGCUAGUGAAUAGUUCAGGAACACAUACUACCUACAUUUUAGCUUUGAACUAUAGUUUAGAAAUUUUCAAUCAAAUAAAAGAAUUUCAUUCUAACCAUCUAAAUGAUAAGAAUUAGAUUGUGAUUUUCAGUAGGUAAGGUAUUUAUUUAUUUAGUACCAAAAAAAAAAAAAUUGAAGUCAUCUCGAAAAAAGAAAAGAAAAAGGCACGAAAAGACAAAAAACCUUACAUUUUCAAAUUAUAAACAGUAAAAAUGAAAUUUUAAUUUGACUUAAGAAAAUUAAAACAACAUUUUCUCUUUUUCUAAUGUUAAAAAUCAGCCCUAUGAGUCAAAAUUUAAAAAUCAGGUAUUUGUUUGCAAUAUUAUGCUCAAAUUAGGUAUCUAUUGGUUCUGCACAAUCGCCAAAUAGGUAUAUAGGUACAUUGAAAAUGAUAAAUUUUACGCAACAAGAUAACUAUUCUACUUGACCUACUAAAAUAAUAGGCACCAUACCAAUAUUCUUCAUAAAUUACAAAAACUUUAAACCAAAAAGAAGUGUUUCAUCGCGCAGGCCACCCAAUGGAUAUUUCAAAGGCAAAUUUUUCAAUUUUCAAAUUUCAAAUACUUAUGUAGUUAGAUGUUUAUUUUCAAGAGAAAGCAAAAUUAAGACGUUGAUGAUUAGAUAUAUAGGCUACAUUUUUUGAUAAAACACUUAUUCACAAUUUUUUUGAUAGAUUUAUGUCACAAUGCUUUUCUUUAGCAUAUUAUCCGUUGUACACAACAAGCCUAUCUCAAUAACUUGCGAUCUUUUUGGGAUCUGUACACAACCUGAAUGUACAUCUUUACCGAUUCCGGUUGGGCCUGUACAGUCUUUACAGAAGGGCGUAAUUUGUCCAUUGAUGGACAAUCUAACAUAGAUAACGUAAUUGCGCAAUUCAUAUAGGUUUCCUGUGAAUUGCUAAUCCUUGCAGCAUAGUUAAUCUAUAUCGCUAGAUAAGUAGUACCUAUGUUUUUUUUUGAUUAGACUAAUUUUUCGUCAUUUGUGAAACACUAUGAACAGUAAUAUAUAAAUUAUAAUAUAGGUAUGAGAUUGAAUAUUAAUUUAAAACAUAUUGACCAUAUUAUCAUUUGUGAAAUAGGGUAGGUAUAUGCUUAUGAAAAAAUACAUUAUAUACUUCUUAUUCUUACAAUAAAACAAGCCAUCAGCUAUAUUUGCUGAUUGCAAGAGAGUUUUUGUAUUUACCGUUUGCUAAGUGGCUGCUUUAAUGCUUCAUGUUUUUAAUAGGUACAUAUUAUUCAACAAAUCAUGAUGGCAUGAUCAAUUUAUCUACUUCAGACAUUUACCAUCAUUUGAGAAUUGAUUUUUCUGAAUUUACCUAUACCAUUUCAGUUCUUGUAGAUAGAAAGAUGCCAGAUUUAGAUAUAUAAAAUUAAACCCAAAAAAUAAAUUUAUUAGGUACCCUACCAUUUAAAAGUUGCGUUGACAUUUUUGAUAAAUAAGUUCAUGUGCUAAAAUUUCUAAUCAUCGCGGAUGCAAACAACUGCUGGAAUCUCCAAUAAACUAGGCCAAGUGAGUAAUAAACAGCGCUGUCAAACUGGAAAUCAUUAGUAAGCUCCGGAAGGCUUAAAAUUCUGAUCGAUUUUCUUCUAUUGGUUAUACCUACAGCUUGCGUAAAAAAAAAAAAUACAUAUGCAUUUAUUCAAAUGAUUUUUGUAAGAAAAAAGCUACAAAGGACACUCAACUGUAUGUACUUUUUGGCUUACAAUUCACAACUCAACUAUACUCGUAAACGCUACACGGCGUUCAGAGAAGAAUAACUUGCUGAAAUUAUUCAUAAAUUAUUUUCUACACUUAAGCAAGCUUUCUGAAAAAAAAAAAAAUUCUGGGAAGGCAUUAGGUAUUAUUGUUUUCUCUUCAUUUGGAAAAAAAACCUAAUAAAUAAACUGUUCAUUUUAGGUAAACAAUGUAAACAAAUAUGCAAUCAACCAAUAAUGAAACAACAGCAAGUAAGUACUAUUCAAGAUAUGACCACUGUUUUUUUUUUAGGUACUAUUUGUUUGCAUUUUCCAAGUGUCUGAAUAAAAUGAACAGACUGUAGUCCAAUUAAUUGGAACAUUUUUCCAUUUAAAAACCAAAUGGGUAAGUGUAAGUAAGUACUUGAUGGAUCUAUCAACAACUGAUCAAAAUACAUACUUGGUGCGCCCAUCAAUUGAAAAUCUACGUCGAUAAGUAUUUGAUACGAAAACAAAUAAUUUACCACACGAUUAAGUAAGCACUCUGUAACUUUUGUUCUAUGCAAUUUUAUCAUUUUUCUUUCAGUAAAAAAAAUGUUAAGAUGUACCUAACUAAAUAAAUUUAAAAAUUUUGAAUAAAAUUAAUGAUGAAAAAUGCAAUUACAAUCAAGAGUUUUUGUAAAAAGGUCCAAGCUUAGCAGAAAAAAAAUCAACAAAACAUAGGACCAAGUCAGCCCCCUGCAAUCUGUAAGGUAUGUAGGUAGAUAGCAAUUAAUUCAACUUUUUUUUUGCAUACAAAGGUUUGGUAUAAGUUUCCUGAGCUAAUCUCUCUUUCUGAAAAAAAAACAAAAAUUGAAAAAUAAUGUAAAAUAGAGAUUAAUUUUACUAUCCAUACUCAAUAGGUACCUAGGUACUUUGCCUGAACAAAUCACCUAAUACGUAACAAAGUGUUCACUUUUAUAUUUUUUCAACUCUAAACGAUACAUUUUACCAUAUCUACCAAUUGCUGUAAGUAGAUUGAAGCUAUCAAGUACUUCUUUGGUUUCUGCGAAAAGAUAAACUACUUCGGUAGGUCUCUACUAAUGGUAGGUAUCUAAUAAGUAAUAAUUAUACGAGCAUCAAUCAAUUUACAAGUUCAUUUUUUUAUGCUUUCUAGCUGCGACAAAUUAUUUGUGCUCGUAAAAUGAUAAGAAAUAAAAAAUAUUUCAAAACAUUAUUCAACCAGUAGCAAAGUUGAAAUUUCAUAAUUAAGAUUUGUGCAACCUUGAUCAAAGUAUGAAUAUUCCGAAGAUUUACAUUGCGUUAUUUUUCUUCGCAAUCAUAUCAGUUGUGCGCAGUAUUCCUACCAUAGUCUGUGACCUAAACCAUGAAAACUGUCACGAAUUACCAUGCAGUCCGAGUGGAAUAUGCCCCGGAUAAAAAAUGAGGCCCAAUUUCAUCAAUCAGUUCAUGCAUGUUUCCAUUUUACGUUUGGUGAUUUAAUGAAAGCAAUACCAGCAAUUAAAGUUUUAGUUUCAGCUCUGUAAAUGGUACGAGAGCCGGAAUAUACUUACUUACUCUUAUGCUCUCAUCUACAUAAUGCAUCUUGUAGUGAUAAAUUAUUUUCAUCCUAAUCUUAGCACCUACUGAAUAAAUAUCUAGAACGAGGAGCCAAGUGGAAGUAGGUACCUAUCAUUUAUGGAAAAGAAGAAAUUAUCGGGUAAUUUUUUACAUGCGAUAUAAAUGCCCUUUCUGGUUUUGUUUUUUGAAAAUUCAACAAUGCUCGCAUUUUCAAAAUGAGUGUAAGUAAGUCUCCUCUCUAAAGAAAGUUUUAAAUCAUGGUUACUUUUUUUACUCAAUUUAACAACUCAGUGCUAUGAAUUCCUAAUAAAAUGAAAUGCCUGACAAAAUAUCAUCAAAUCAGUUUUGAAAAGUUUGGCAUAUUCCUUCCCCCUCCUCCACAUUUCUUGAAAGUCAGACUUACAAACAAAAACAUUGUUUUUGAUUUACCAAAAAUGUGAGUUAUUGAGUAUUCAUGUUCAAAUUGUAAUUUUUAAAACGAGAAGUUGAUGAGAUAGGCGAAAUCUGAUUGCACUAUUCGAUUUCUUGUGAAAAAGUAAGUCGUAAUCGCCAAUAAAAAAAAAAACAUCGAAUCACCACAAGGGCCCAUAUCGUGAAACGCCUCUCAAAUAGAGAAUAAUUAUCCAUAUACUUAGUAGGUAUCUUUUGCCUGAAUAAAUCACCUAAUACCUACGUAACAAAGUGUUAAAUUUUAUGAUUUUUGAACACGUUAAACGACACUACUUUUUACCAUAUCUACCAAUUUCUUUAGGUUGAAGCUAUUAAGCACUUCUUUGGUUUCUGCGAAAAGAUAAAACUACUUAGCUAUAGGACAAAUUACCUAUUUGUGCUCGUAGAAUGAUAACAACAACAAACAAAAUAAUAUACAAAACAUUAUUCAACCAGUAGCUAAGUUGAAGUUUCAUAAUUAAGAUUUGUGCAACCUCGAUCAAAGUAUGAAUAUUCCGAAGAUUUACAUGUAUAUCGCAUUAUUUUUCUUCGCAAUCAUAUCAGUUGUGCACAGUAUUCCUAGUACCAUAGUUUGUGACAUUAAUGGUCAAAACUGCCACCAAUUACCAUGCAGCCCGACUGGAAUAUGCCCUCUGGUAGAUGAAAAUUAGGCCUAAUUUCAUCACUAAGUUUAAGCAUGUUUCCAUUUCAUCACGUUUCGUCAUUUAAUGAAAGCAGUGCCAAUUACAGUUCUAGUUUCAGCUCUGUAAAUGGUACGAGUGUCGGAGUACACAUACUCUUAUGCUCUCAUCUACAUAAUGCAUCUUGUACUGAUAAAUUAUUUGUAUCCAUAAUCUCAGCACCUACUGAAUAAAUAUCUAGAACGAGUAGCUAAGUUCUACCUAGCAUUUAUGAAAAAGAUGAUUUUUUACAAAAAUUUUUGAAAGUCUUACAUAAUGUGAAGAAUUUGUCACAAUUUUUUCAAAAUUCUUAAAAGUUGAACAAAACAUUAAAAAUUUGUCAAAUAUUUUCCAAAUUUUUGAAUGUGUAACAAAAUAUGUAUUAUUAGGUACCUACUCAAAAGAUUUUAUGAAAGUCUGACAUACAAAUAGGUAAUACCCAGCCCUAAUAUCAGAAAUCGAUCAUUUUUUCAACGUUACUUUCUAAAAUUCUGACAUACUUACCUAAAUGUUGAGAAUUCAUCAUGUUUUUUCCAAGUUUUUAAAAGUCUGACAUAAUGUGAAAAAAUCGAUUAUUUUUUCCAAGUUUCAAAAUCAAUGUGACACCGAUCCGCAUUAUACAGAUUUCGGGAACAGCCUCAAUGCAAAAAACAUAUCCAUGCCAUAAUGCAUUUCAAAGUAUUUAGGAAAAUCAAAUGAUCGAUUUUUUUGGGUGGGGGGGGGGUGAAAAAGCCAAAUCCUGUCCCAUUCAACAGAUCCGAUUAAUUUUUUCCUAUGGGAUCUGGCCAGGUUCUCGAACAGAUCUAAUCCCAUCAAAACUCCUCAACAGAGCCUCCUUUGUUGCACGGUAGCAUGGCGAUGAAAAUCUAAAUGGUGAUCUAGUUAAUUUUGUGUAAGAUGUUCUAAUUCUAGAUCAUAAACCUUAAACCGUUUCAAUCAAAACAUACAAUGUAAGCAUGUACUUCCUCAUCAUCCGCCUUUUUAUGAAUGCAUCAAUAUUUUCGGCGUGGCUUCAUAUUAUAGAAUUUGGAAUUAUUUUAGCCGUAGAAGUUUCCUCUGUAAUUCGUUAUGCGCUUUCGUGUGUGUUCAAAGGAUAUCCUUAUUAUACGUGAACAUGAUGCUGAACCGCGGACAGAUUCACCUGACAGUGAAUAAAACUUGAACAGAC